UCCUUGGUGGCUCAGAUGGUAAAGCAUCUGCCUGCAAUGUGGGAGACCUGGGUUCAAUCCCUAGGUUGGGAA
rnacentral:tRNA from 1 species